UAAUACGAAGGGGGCAAGCGUUGUUCGGAAUUACUGGGCGUAAAGGGCGCGUAGGCGGCUUAUCAAGUCAGGCGUGAAAUUCCCGGGCUCAACCUGGGGGCUGCGCUUGAUACUGAUGAGCUUGAAUGCGGGAGAGGAUAGUGGAAUUCCCAGUGUAGUGGUGAAAUACGUAGAGAUUGGGAAGAACACCAGUGGCGAAGGCGGCUAUCUGGACGGUUUCUGACACUAAGACUCGAAAGCGUGGGGAGCAAACAGGAUUAGAUACCCUGGUAGUCCACGCCGUAAACGAUGGGUGCUAGACGUUGGCGAGCUUGCUCGUCAGUGUCGCAGCUAACGCGUUAAGCACCCCGCCUGGGGAGUACGGCCGCAAGGUUG
rnacentral:rRNA from 1 species